rnacentral:rRNA from 1 species
CCUACGGGUGGCAGCAGUGAGGAAUAUUGGUCAAUGGGCGCGAGCCUGAACCAGCCAAGUAGCGUGAAGGAUGACUGCCCUACGGGUUGUAAACUUCUUUUAUAAAGGAAUAAAGUGAGGCACGUGUGCCUUUUUGUAUGUACUUUAUGAAUAAGGAUCGGCUAACUCCGUGCCAGCAGCCGCGGUAAUACGGAGGAUCCGAGCGUUAUCCGGAUUUAGUGGGUUUAAAGGGAGCGUAGAGGGGUUGUUAAGGCCGUUGUGAAAGUUUGCGGCUCAACCGUAAAAUUGCAAUUGAUACUUGCAGCCUUUAGUUCAGUUGAGGUUGGCGGAAUUCGUGGUUUAGCCGUUA